CUAUGAUUAGCAAAAUUUGUCUUCCCCCAGUGUUCUUGCAGACUUCCUGAAGCUGCAGUAAUACAGAAUUACACAUGACGGGACUUGUAUCUCUAUAUGUCUAUUAAUAUAAUCGGAGAUUAAUUACUUUGGAAGAGUAGCUGUAAGGAUACCAAUUGUUUAAAUCUACAUUUCACUGUUCUUUUUCAUCUGCCUUCUGCCUCAGCCCAUGGAAUGACUUAUUCCAUGACCUGUUACGGAUCUCCGGAGAUCCUGCCUUCAUACCUUUGCUCAUGCUGCCUGGGAGAGCCUCCCUUCCACCUGUUCACAGCCAAGCUCUCUGAGCCUGAGCUCUCUCUGCCAUGAAGUCUUCUUUGAACCAUGAAAGAAGCUGCUGGAUGGAGAUGAAUGAGCUUUUGUUUCUGAAAAGCUGAAUUUUUAUUUCUUAGCUGAUAUAUAUGGAGUCAGAACUCUUCCAUGUUGAAGACUCUGACUGAAGCCCAGAGUAGUUAUUAUGCAAGACAAUCUCCUUCUGACCAGCUUUCUAGAACUUUGAACAGAGCUGAACACAGAGACUUGAAGAAACUUGGUUAGAGGUAGAGUUGUUUUUCAAUUACGUCAAUUUCAAAAGCAUGCCUCUCUGCUCUGAAUUUGGACACUGGCUGGUGACUG